rnacentral:tRNA from 1 species
AAAAAGAUAAGCUAAUUAAGCUAAUGGGUUCAUACCCCUUUUAUAAAGGUUUCAAUCCUUUUCUUUUUA